rnacentral:rRNA from 1 species
AAAUUGAAGAGUUUGAUCAUGGCUCAGAUUGAACGCUGGCGGCAGGCCUAACACAUGCAAGUCGAACGGUAACAGGAAACAGCUUGCUGUUUCGCUGACGAGUGGCGGACGGGUGAGUAAUGUCUGGGAAACUGCCUGAUGGAGGGGGAUAACUACUGGAAACGGUAGCUAAUACCGCAUAACGUCGCAAGACCAAAGAGGGGGACCUUAGGGCCUCUUGCCAUCGGAUGUGCCCAGAUGGGAUUAGCUAGUAGGUGGGGUAAAGGCUCACCUAGGCGACGAUCCCUAGCUGGUCUGAGAGGAUGACCAGCCACACUGGAACUGAGACACGGUCCAGACUCCUACGGGAGGCAGCAGU